rnacentral:rRNA from 1 species
UACGGAGGGUGCAAGCGUUAAUCGGAAUUACUGGGCGUAAAGCGCACGCAGGUGGCUGUGUAAGUCGGAUGUGAAAGCCCUGGGCUCAACCUGGGAACUGCAUUCGAUACUGUGCAGCUAGAGUAUGGGAGAGGAAAGUGGAAUUCCCGGUGUAGCGGUGAAAUGCGUAGAUAUCUGGAGGAACACCGGUGGCGAAGGCGGCAUCCUGGACCGACACUGACGCUGAGGAGCGAAAGCCAGGGGAGCAAAGCGGG